CGUAGGGAAACCGAGUCUGAAUAGGGCGAAUUAGUUGCUGGGCGUAGACCCGAAACCAGAUGAUCUAUCCAUGGCCAGGAUGAAGGUGCCGUAACAGGUACUGGAGGUCCGAACCCACUAACGUUGAAAAGUUAGGGGAUGAGCUGUGGAUAGGGGUGAAAGGCUAAACAAAUCUGGAAAUAGCUGGUUCUCCCCGAAAACUAUUUAGGUAGUGCCUCGUGUGGACACUUCCGGGGGUAGAGCACUGUAAUCGUUGGGGGGGUCAUUGCGAUCUACCCCGCGAUAGCAAACUCCGAAUACCGGAAAGUGAUGCACGGGAGACAGACGGUGGGUGCUAACGUCCAUCGUCAAGAGGGAAACAACCCAGACCGCCAGCUAAGGUCCCCAAUGAUUGGCUAAGUGGAAAACGAAGUGGGAAGGCAUAGACAGUCAGGAGGUUGGCUUAGAAGCAGCCACCCUUUUAAACGAAAGCGUAAUAGCUCACUGAUCGAGUCGUCCUGCGCGGAAGAUGUAACGGGG
rnacentral:rRNA from 1 species